rnacentral:lncRNA from 1 species
GUCAUAAGCUGCCCCAGGUUGUGGCUCCUACUCCCACACAAAGGGGAUUUAUGCCAGUUAAUUCAGGGGUUGUUCAAAGACCUGGGAUGGGUCCGAUGCAACCUCCAAGUCCUACUCAACAGGCACCAGUUCAGCCAGCUAUUACACCUGCAGCUCCACCACCAACAAUACAGACAGUUGAUACUUCAAAUGUACCUGGUAAUCUAAUUUUUUUUUUCUUUCUCUAUCAGUAAGAUUUUGCAUUAAACAGGGUGCUUAUGUAUGUAUGUAUGUGUGUGUGUGUGUGUGUGUGUGUAUGCAUGUAUGAUAGGAAUAUAAGAGAAAUUAUGGACCCCACAAUUUUUGUUCAAAGCACUUGCAUUAUAUACAGAAAGUGUUGUAACUUUCAUGUAUUCUAAGUUUUCACUUCAAAUCACCCCAACUUUUGGGUGAUAGCUUUGGUGAGUUGAUUACAAAUUUUUUUUCUUCCUUUUUCCCCUUUAAUGGACAAGCCAAACAAGGGUAAAUAUUUUAAAUUUUUUCUCUUUCUUAUGCUUCUCUCAUUGUGGAUAAGGAGUAUAAAAUAGUGUUGAUGCAAAUAUUUAAUAUGUGCUGUCCAGUAAGAUGUCCUCAAAUACAGCAAAGAUGGUGGUCAAGGUGGUGUCUAGCAUCCACUUUUGCAUUAUACAGCCUGAAAUUCCAAGUAGGACCUUAUUUAGUUCAAAAUUCAUUACAUACCCAAAAUGAAGCUUUGAAGCACGUCAAGAUUUUCCAUGUAUGUACCUAUAGAAGCAUUUAACAUCUUGAUGGGAGUUACUGCUGGGGAGGAAAUUUAUUCACAACAAAAUAUUACCAAGUUACUAUAUUUUUUAUACUUUUAUUAAAUGGGCAAUAUUUGUAUUAUUGUUAUCAUCUAGUUACUUGCAUUCUUGAAAAUUGACCUUGCUCCUCUUCUAUUUCUCCAGCCCAGCAAAGGCCAGUAGUUGCAACAUUGACAAGACUGUUCAAUGAAACGUCAGAGGCCCUGGGAGGUUCACGUGCAAACCCAGCCAAGAAGCGGGAAAUAGAAGAUAAUUCAAGGAAAAUUGGUGCCUUGCUUGCAAAACUUAACAGUGGAGACAUAUCUAAAAAUGCUGCUGAUAAGCUUGUUCAGCUCUGCCAGGCUUUAGACAAUGGUGAUUUCGGCACUGCCUUACAAAUUCAGGU